CGAGCGGUAACAGAUCCAGCUUGCUGGAUGCUGACGAGCGGCGGACGGGUGAGUAAUGCAUAGGAAUCUGCCCGAUAGUGGGGGAUAACCUGGGGAAACCCAGGCUAAUACCGCAUACGUCCUACGGGAGAAAGGGGGCUCCGGCUCCCGCUAUGGGAUGAGCCUAUGUCGGAUUAGCUAGUUGGUGAGGUAACGGCUCACCAAGGCCACGAUCCGUAGCUGGUCUGAGAGGAUGAUCAGCCACAUCGGGACUGAGACACGGCCCGAACUCCUACGGGAGGCAGCAGUGGGGAAUAUUGGACAAUGGGGGCAACCCUGAUCCAGCCAUGCCGCGUGUGUGAAGAAGGCCCUCGGGUUGUAAAGCACUUUCAGCGAGGAAGAACGCCUAGCGGUUAAUACCCGCUAGGAAAGACAUCACUCGCAGAAGAAGCACCGGCUAACUCCGUGCCAGCAGCCGCGGUAAUACGGAGGGUGCAAGCGUUAAUCGGAAUUACUGGGCGUAAAGCGCGCGUAGGUGGCUUGAUAAGCCGGUUGUGAAAGCCCCGGGCUCAACCUGGGAACGGCAUCCGGAACUGUCAAGCUAGAGUGCAGGAGAGGAAGGUAGAAUUCCCGGUGUAGCGGUGACAUGCGUAGAGAUCGGGAGGAAUACCAGUGGCGAAGGCGGCCUUCUGGACUGACACUGACACUGAGGUGCGAAAGCGUGGGUAGC
rnacentral:rRNA from 1 species